AAUCAACGCUGGCGGCGUGCCUCAGACAUGCAAGUCGAACGAUUAAACUUUCCUUCGGGAAAGACAUAAAGUGGCGCACGGGUGAGUAACACGUAAGUAAUCUGCCUUCGAGUGGGGAAUACCUUCGGGAAACCGAAGAUAAUACCGCAUAAUGCAGCGGCACCGCAAGGUGACAGUUGUUAAAGAUUUAUCGCUUGAAGAGGAGCUUGCGGCAGAUUAGCUAGUUGGAAGGUAAUGGCUUACCAAGGCUACGAUCUGUAACCGGUCUAAGAGGACGGUCGGUCACACUGACACUGAAUAACGGGUCAGACUCCUACGGGAGGCAGCAGUCGGGAAUUUUGGGCAAUGGGCGAAAGCCUGACCCAGCAACGCCGCGUGAAGGAUGAAGUAUUUCGGUAUGUAAACUUGAAAGAAUGGGAAGAAUAAAUGACGGUACCAUUUAUAAGGUCCGGCUAACUACGUGCCAGCAGCCGCAGU
rnacentral:rRNA from 1 species